AACGUAGGGGGCGAGCGUUGUCCGGAAUUACUGGGCGUAAAGGGCGUGUAGGCGGCCCGUGAAGUCAGGAGUGAAAACCCGGGGCUCAACCCCGGGAGUGCUUUUGAAACCAGCGGGCUUGAGUGCAGGAGAGGGAAGUGGAAUUCCCAGUGUAGCGGUGAAAUGCGUAGAUAUUGGGAGGAACACCAGUGGCGAAAGCGGCCUUCUGGCCUGCAACUGACGCUGAGGCGCGAAAGCGUGGGGAGCAAACAGG
rnacentral:rRNA from 1 species